UACGAAGGGGGCUAGCGUUGUCCGGAUUUAUUGGGCGUAAAGAGCUCGUAGGCGGUUGGGUAAGUCGGGUGUGAAAACUCCAGGCUCAACUUGGAGAGGCCACCCGAUACUGCUCUGACUUGAGUUCGGUAGGGGAGUGGGGAAUUCCUGGUGUAGCGGUGAAAUGCGCAGAUAUCAGGAGGAACACCGGUGGCGAAGGCGCCACUCUGGGCCGAAACUGACGCUGAGGAGCGAAAGCGUGGGUAGCAAACAGG
rnacentral:rRNA from 1 species